rnacentral:rRNA from 1 species
UACGGGGGGGGCAAGCGUUGUUCGGAAUUACUGGGCGUAAAGGGCUCGUAGGCGGCCAACUAAGUCGGAUGUGAAAUCCCCAGGCUUAACCUGGGAACUGCAUCCGAUACUGGAUGGCUUGAAUCCGGGAGAGGGAUGCAGAAUUCCAGGUGUAGCGGUGAAAUGCGUAGAUAUCUGGAGGAAUACCGGUGGCGAAGGCGGUUCUCUGGGCCUUACCUGACGCUGAGGAGCGAAAGCGUGGGGAGCGAACAGG